UAAGGAAUAUUGGACAAUGGAGGCAACUCUGAUCCAGCCAUGCCGCGUGAAGGAAUAAGGCCCUAUGGGUUGUAAACUUCUUUUAGACGGGACAAAACCCCUUUACGUGUAAAGGGUUGAUGGUACUGUCAGAAUAAGCAUCGGCUAACUUCGUGCCAGCAGCCGCGGUAAUACGAAGGAUGCAAGAGUUAUCCGGAAUUAUUGGGUUUAAAGGGUGCGUAGGCGGACUAAUAAGUCAGUGGUGAAAGCCUGCAGCUUAACUGCAGAAUUGCCAUUGNUACUGUUAGUCUUGAGUACAGUUGAGGUAGGCGGAAUGUGUCAUGUAGCGGUGAAAUGCUUAGAUAUGACACAGAACACCGAUUGCGAAGGCAGCUUGCUAAGCUGUAACUGACGCUGAGGCACGAAAGCGUGGGGAGCAAACA
rnacentral:rRNA from 1 species